AGGAGUGGUCAAAAAUUCAACCAGAAGUUUGCCAGAAACUUGUGGAUGGCUACCAAAAGUGCCUUAUUGCAGUGAAACUUGCCGAGGGACAUGUAACUAAAUAUUAACAUUGCUGUAUGUAUACUUUUGACCCAGCAGAUUUGCUCACAUUUUACUGACUCUUACUGACAUCUAGUGGCGAUAGGAAAUUACUACGUUUGAUUUGUUCACUUCCGGGUCGACGAUUUCAGGAAGUCAGUUUAUGAGACAAAUGAGAAGCAGACAAAAUUGUGUUAGCUAUUACAUGCCUUGGAAAAGAUAAGACUGAACGCCUUAACUGUGAAAUUGGGGUGACCGUCGACCAGCCAGGAGUACGGGCCGACGUAGCUGGGGUCCGGCUUCUUAGAUUCUGUGGCAAGAGGCAUGACACGGGACGACUGCCGUACCAUCUGACCCACCUGGUGUGCGAUGACGGUUGGCCAGACAUUGAUUACACAAUGAUGUCCUACACGGGUCAGAGGGAGUGGACCAACCAGGACCAUGAAGCGGCCAUCGGCUGCGUCUGCCUUUAGCGUCGCUCGACUUAGUAAACCGACUUUCCCAAAGUUCCUUUAUCAGCUCAGCCACAUCAUGAGCCUAGCAUAGACAGGCUGAUACCAAUGGCACCAGGGUUUCUGAUCCAAGGAUUGAAACGCAAGAGGUUGGAACCCAUACAUCCAUCCACCCAUUUUCUACCGCUUGUCCAUGUUUGGGUUGCGGGGGGUAGCUGGAGCCUAUCUCAGCUGCUUUCGGGCGGAAAGCGGGUGCACACCCUGGACAAGUCGCCAUCUCAUCGUAGGGCGAGGUUGGAACCCAUAAGCCAUAUGGAAAGGAGUGUGGCUGAGCUGAUGAAGGAACUGUGGGAAAGUUGGUUGACAAAGUCGAGCGACGCUAAAGGCAGACGCAGGGGAUGGCCGCUUCAUGGUCCUGGUUGGUCCGCUGCCUCUGACCUUCGCUUUGGGGGUGUUGGCAGAUAACAGACAUGGUGAAGCGUUCAAGGACCUGUAGAAUGCCUCCCAUAAAGCCAAUGAAAACUGAGGACUGCUGUCAGAGACCACCUCUGUGGGGGUUGGAGCAUGCCACAAAAGGAGCCAUCUUGGAGAACCUUUUAACGAGUGGUGUUGCCUGUGAGAACCUUACGAUGUGAGAUCAUAGGUAGAGAGCGGAGAAGUGUUUACGGAGCUGGAAAAAAAAGUAAAUAGUACGACUGACACAAUUAGCUCAGUUUUGGAGUCAUGUGACUACAUUACAUUGUCCCCAAAACUUGUCUCAAGCAUUCAGGUGUUAGUCAACAACCUUCCCUAACUCGCUUUCUCAACAAGCUUCUUGUUGAUAGUCUUGCAGUCCAUCAGUAAUCUUGCAGGCCUACAAUCCUGUCCCUGACGUCCAUUGACAGUCUUCUCUUAGAGAUGUUUGAAUGGAAGUGCUUGUUUCUGUGACACGUAUAUAAGGAGAUAAGAUUAAGAAUACUUUCUGAUAGGGACUGGGCCAAUUUGUGUUUCAUGGACACAUAACGGUCUGUGAGGGCCAUAAUGCUUUUUGGUUGGUAGGGAAACAAUUACAUAUAUUUCGAUCAAUUUACAGUAUAAGUCAGGCUUGCCACUCACAGUUUGUUUGUGUUUUAGUUUUUCCUCUAUGCGUGUUUAGUAUUCCCUGUCCUUAGUUCCUGUCAGCAAUCUUAUUUGGGUUCAGCUUCCUGUUUGUCUCCCUGUGUGCUGUUUUCCCCACAGCUGCGGCUGAUUGGCACCUGGCCACACCUGGUGUCAAUCAGCCCGCUCCUUUUUUACCUGCUUUGUUCCUCCAGUCAGUGCUGGAUUAUUGUCAUGUCGAUGUCGCUCUUGUCGUUGCUAUCUGUCGUGUCGUGUUUUGUCAAUGCAGCAUUGCGGUAAGCUUUAUCUGAUUGCGGUUUUUAGCUUACUGCCUUUUGUUCCCUGCUUUCAAGUUUGUUUUCAUAUUUAAUGUACAACUUCUGUUUCCUGGUCGAGACCUGCUAGUUUCCACACUAGGCCUUUUUGUUUUUGCUAGCUUCCAUGCUAAGCUCCGUUUAUUUUCUAGUUCCCAUGCUAGGGAACUAGAACUUUUGUUUGUUAUCCGCCCACGUGCACAGUUUUUGUUUGUACCUUUUGUUUGGUUUUGUGUUAGUUUUGAAUUAAAUUAUGUUUCCUUACAAAA